UGUCUAGGUAACCAGUCAUCUUGGUUACCCGCCCAGCCAGGCAGGGGCCCAGGAGUCUCCAGGGCGGGGAUCUCCGGCAAAAGAGGCUUCCUGACUUCACUCAUUCAUUCAUAAGACGAUGAACACCAAGGGCCCGCUGCCCAAACCAAGAUGCAGUCCAGUAACUCUAAGCUGCCACUAGCUCCCUCGCGAUCUUUCUUCUCCAGCCCGGAGAUGGGCAUGACUUCCUCGCAAAGCAAAGGUGCUUCAUGGGCGAGGAGACCCAGGUCCACCGAUGCCCGAGAAUGAAGCAGACCCAGAGACAGGAGAGCCCGGAUGAAACUAGUGGAUGCUGGUACCCAGCCCGUCGCACGCGUCUAAUGACACCUCGGAGUUCUGUGUUUGUGGGUCAUCCUCUAUGUUGCCUGCCACUUGUAUUCUUUCUAGGUUGUGAAUUUUUUAAAUAUCUCUGUAGGAAAAUGAAAUACUUAGGCAAUGAG